GAUGAACGCUGGCGGCGUGCUUAACACAUGCAAGUCGAACGGUGAACACGGAGCUUGCUCUGUGGGAUCAGUGGCGAACGGGUGAGUAACACGUGAGCAACCUGCCCCUGACUCUGGGAUAAGCGCUGGAAACGGCGUCUAAUACUGGAUAUGUUACGUGACCGCAUGGUCUGCGUUUGGAAAGAUUGUUCGGUUUGGGAUGGGCUCGCGGCCUUUAAGCUUGUUGGUGAGGUAUUGGCUCACCAAGGCGUCGAGGGGUAGCCGGCCUGAGGGGGGGACCGGCAACACUGGGAUUGAGAAACGGCCCAGACUCCUCCGGGAGGCAGCAGUGGGGAUUAUUGCACAAGGGGCGAAGGCCUGAUGCAGCAACGCCGGGGGGGGGAGGACGGCCUUCGGGUUGUAACCCUUUUUUGGCGGGGAAGAAGCGAAAGUGACGGUACCUGCAAAAAAAGCGCCGGCUAACUACGUG
rnacentral:rRNA from 1 species